AUUGAACGCUGGCGGCAUGCCUUACACAUGCAAGUCGAACGGUAACGCGGGGCAACCUGGCGACGAGUGGCGAACGGGUGAGUAAUGCAUCGGAACGUGCCCAGUAGUGGGGGAUAGCCCGGCGAAAGCCGGAUUAAUACCGCAUACGACCUACGGGUGAAAGCGGGGGACCGUAAGGCCUCGCGCUAUUGGAGCGGUCGAUGUCAGAUUAGGUUGUUGGUGGGGUAAAAGCCUACCAAGCCGACGAUCUGUAGCUGGUAUGAGAGGACGACCAGCCACACUGGGACUGAGACACGGCCCAGACUCCUACGGGAGGCAGCAGUGGGGAAUUUUGGACAAUGGGGUCAACCCUGAUCCAGCCAUGCCGCGUGCGGGAAGAAGGCCUUCGGGUUGUAAACCGCUUUUGUCAGGGAAGAAACGCUCUGGGCUAAUACCCCGGGGUAAUGACGGUACCUGAAGAAUAAGCACCGGCUAACUACGUGCCAGCCGCCGCCGUAAGAC
rnacentral:rRNA from 1 species